rnacentral:rRNA from 1 species
UACGAAGGGGGCUAGCGUUGUUCGGAAUUACUGGGCGUAAAGCGUGCGCAGGCGGCUUCUCAAGUCAGGGGUGAAAGCCCAGAGCUCAACUCUGGAAUUGCCUUUGAGACUGAGAGGCUUGAGUGCGGGAGAGGUGAGUGGAAUUCCCAGUGUAGAGGUGAAAUUCGUAGAUAUCUGGAGGAACACCGGUGGCGAAGGCGGCAUCCUGGACCAACACUGACGCUGAGGAGCGAAAGCCAGGGGAGCAAACGGG